rnacentral:lncRNA from 1 species
AGAUCAUUUCGGGCACUAUCUGGUUUAUUAAAUCCUGCAGCAGCUAACCGUAAACUACGCCGAGACAUUCUUGGUGAAUCAAACACUGGAUCUAUUUUGUGCUCAAUCUCAAAAUCCAAAGCAUCUGAUGAAUAACUUGAACUGAGUGCAUAUGUAUAGCCAGUGUUCUCUGGCACACAUUGGGGAGGAGUGUACGUAUGUAGACGUGAAAAGUCCAUGGUGACAGUUUCAAAUCAUAC